AUGAAGGUUAUAUAGGAACAUUGGGUUAUAUGCUCUGCAAUGGGAUGGGAUAAUACAGUCUCUUCUAUCCAACUCCUAUUCCGACACGUCCUCGUCGUGCAGAGUGGUAACAUGUGCCUCCAUAUAUCCUAGCUUGGGUAAACUGGCUAGAUCCAACCCCUUGUGCGGAUGAUGGCAUUUGGCGAACCAGGAGGCG
rnacentral:ribozyme from 1 species